rnacentral:lncRNA from 1 species
UUUGUGCAUGGAGGAAGGUACGUUGGGAAAUUAAUGAAUAAACAAAACUGUAUGUCAUAUUAAUAAUAUUUCUAAUAUUUUUGUUGUAUCUGUAGGUACAAGGAGUGGAAGAACGAGUUGCGGACCCAUUGGACUACGCACGGGAACGCACGUUCUGCUACCCCUGUUGAGUUCCAGUACAGAGAGUACGAGUGGCGUUGGCUUCUGACAUCAGAAUUCAACAACCCUCGUAAACAGGUAUUUAAAUAAAUUAAUUAGUUAAUUUAUCAUUAAGUACGUGCGUUUUAAAAUAUUUUACUAAUAGUUUACUUUUUUCUUUGAAGGCGGUUUCCCGGGUGAACGCUCAGAACCGGCAACGCAACACAAGGAACUAUCAUGCCGGUUCUAGACCGUUCGCUGUCUUCAUGGACGAGGCGGCCAGGGAACAUCCAGAGGUCAACCAGUACGUCUAUACGUACGAGAGGGCAUAUCUUGACUCCCAGGAGGAUAUAGUAAGUACUAUUUCCUUUUUACGGAAUUUUUAAUUUUACUUAUAUAUAUGUCAAAAUGUUAAUUAAUAAUUUUUUCCUAUCCAAUUAGGCAAAGGUGAGGGAGGCUAGUGACGAGGUGAUGAGUGCUAUAGUGAGGGAGACAUGGCCGGACACGCAGGAGGAAGAGAUGUCCGAAGCCAUUUCCCGGAUCGACACUUCAGAUCCGAGGGUUGGGGCGAGGAUCAUGGGCACAGCCUUUCCACCGCGAGAAAACAACUUCUACUGCCGGGGUCUAGGAAAGAAGGGCCAGGGGGUCCUGAAGACCCCUCCAGGAUUUCAACGAAAGGCGGGCUCGACCAACAGCAGGACGGCUCAGCUAGAGUCGGAAGUUGAGAGACUACGGGAACAGCAAGCCGCUCAGGUUGCCGCUCAUGCUGCUCAGGCUGCCGCUCAUGCUGCUCAGGCUGCCGCUCAGGCUGACGCUCAGGCUGCUCAGGCUGCCGCUCAUGCCGCCCAGAUCGCCGAAUAUAGAGCCUUUACUAGAG